rfam:Drosophila simulans chrT_M_5440 genomic scaffold, whole genome shotgun sequence.
AUUCUGGUUGAUCCUGCCAGUAGUUAUAUGCUUGUCUCAAAGAUUAAGCCAUGCAUGUCUAAGUACACACGAAUUAAAAGUGAAACCGCAAAAGGCUCAUUAUAUCAGUUAUGGUUCCUUAGAUCGUUAACAGUUACUUGGAUAACUGUGGUAAUUCUAGAGCUAAUACAUGCAAUUAAAACAUGAACCUUAUGGGACAUGUGCUUUUAUUAGGCUAAAACCAAGCGAUCGCAAGAUCGUUAUAUUGGUUGAACUCUAGAUAACAUGCAGAUCGUAUGGUCUUGUACCGACGACAGAUCUUUCAAAUGUCUGCCCUAUCAACUUUUGAUGGUAGUAUCUAGGACUACCAUGGUUGCAACGGGUAACGGGGAAUCAGGGUUCGAUUCCGGAGAGGGAGCCUGAGAAACGGCUACCACAUCUAAGGAAGGCAGCAGGCGCGUAAAUUACCCACUCCCAGCUCGGGGAGGUAGUGACGAAAAAUAACAAUACAGGACUCAUAUCCGAGGCCCUGUAAUUGGAAUGAGUACACUUUAAAUCCUUUAACAAGGACCAAUUGGAGGGCAAGUCUGGUGCCAGCAGCCGCGGUAAUUCCAGCUCCAAUAGCGUAUAUUAAAGUUGUUGCGGUUAAAACGUUCGUAGUUGAACUUGUGCUUCAUACGGGUAGUACAACUUACAAUUGUGGUUAGUACUAUACCUUUAUGUAUGUAAGCGUAUUACCGGUGGAGUUCUUAUAUGUGAUUAAAUACUUGUAUUUUUUCAUAUGUUCCUCCUAUUUAAAAACCUGCACUAGUGCUCUUAAACGAGUGUUAUUGUGGGCCGGUACUAUUACUUUGAACAAAUUAGAGUGCUUAAAGCAGCUUCAAAUGCCUGAAUAUUCUGUGCAUGGGAUAAUGAAAUAAGACCUCUGUUCUGCUUUCAUUGGUUUUCAGAUCAAGAGGUAAUGAUUAAUAGAAGCAGUUUGGGGGCAUUAGUAUUACGACGCGAGAGGUGAAAUUCUGGAUCGUCGUAAGACUAACUAGGCGAAGCAUUUGCCAAAGAUGUUUUCAUAUCAGGACGAAAGUUAGGAGGUUC